rnacentral:rRNA from 1 species
AACGAACGCUGGCGGCAUGCCUAACACAUGCAAGUCGAACGAAAACUUCGGGUCUAGUUGCGCACGGCUGCGUAACGCGUGGGAAGCUGCACUUAGGUUCGGAAUAACUGCCCGAGGGAGAUGCUAAUACCAGUUAAUGUCAUCGGACAAAAGAUUUUUCGCCUUUGGGUGGGCCCGCGUUGGAUUCGCUAGUUGGUAGGGUACAAGCCUACCAACGCGACGAUGCAUAGCUGGUCGGGGAGGAGGAUCUGCUGCACUGGGGCUGAGACACGGACCAGACUCCUACGGAAGGGAGCGGUGGGUAAUACUGUACGAGGGGCGAAGGUGUGAUACAGCAACGUGGCGGAAGUGGUGAAGGCCGUAGGGUUGUAAAGCUGUUUUACCCGAGAUGAGAGUGACAGUACCGGGAGAAGAAGCACCGGCUAACUCCGUG